rnacentral:rRNA from 1 species
AAAGAAAAUAACAAUGAUUCCCUUAGUAACGGCGAGUGAAGAGGGAUAAGCUCAAAUUUUAAAUCUGACGGGUUUCCCAUCAGAGUUGUAAUUUGUAGAAGCGUUUUCCGCGUUCCGUCAGGUCUAAGUCCCUUGGGAUAGGGCGUCAUGGAGGGUUAGAAUCCCGUUCGAUCUGGGUCGGACGCUUUACGAUACGCUUUCAAAGAGUCAAGUUGUUUGGGAAUGCAGCUUAAAAUGGGAGGUAAAUUUCUCCUAAGGCUAAAUAUUAGCGAGAGACCGAUAGCGAACAAGUACCGUGAGGGAAAGAUGAAAAGCACUUUGAAAAGAGAGUUAAAUAGAACGUGAAAUUGUUGAAAGGGAAACGAUUGAAGUCAGUCGUACCUACGGGAAAUCAACCUUGUGAGCGUGAUCCCGUUUGCGUGAGGGAGCUUAACCGCCUCCGCGUUUUUCGGGUUUGUUUUUUAUGGGCGUACUUUCUCGUGUGGUAAGUCAACAUCAAUUUCGAACGUUAUAAAAUGACCGGAGGAAUGUAGCUUCGAUUCGUCGAAGUGUUAUAGCCUUUGGUAGAUGUAGCGAUCGGGAUUGAGGAUUGCAACGAAUGCCCUUCGGGCUAACCGUCUGGCCUCUGAUGGUGACCUUGGUGCCGAAAGCUUGCUUACGGUUAUUGAGGUUCGCUGUCAAAAGGUUAGAACGCGAUUAAAUUCGUUAAGGAUGUUG